AACGCACAUUGCGCCCGCCAGUAUUCUGGCGGGCAUGCCUGUUCGAGCGUCAUUUCAACCCUCGGGUCCCGCAUUCGUGCGGGCUCCGGCGUUGGGGACCGGCCUCCGCAUCGGACGGCCGCCCCCGAAACCCAGUGGCGGUCCCGCCGCGGCCUUCUCUGCGUAGUAGCAUACACCUCGCACUGGAGAGCGGCGCGGCCACGCCGUAAAAGAAACGAACUUUCUGAAGGUUGACCUCGGAUCAGGUAGGAAUACCCGCUGAACUUAA
rnacentral:misc_RNA from 1 species